rnacentral:rRNA from 1 species
AUUGAACGCUGGCGGCAUGCUUUACACAUGCAAGUCGAACGGUAACAGGCCGCAAGGUGCUGACGAGUGGCGAACGGGUGAGUAAUGCAUCGGAACAUGUCCAUGUCGUGGGGGAUAGCCCGGCGAAAGCCGGAUUAAUACCGCAUACGCCCGAGAGGGGAAAGUGGGGGACCGCAAGGCCUCACGCGAUUGGGUUGGCCGAUGUCCGAUUAGCUUGUUGGUGAGGUAAAGGCUUACCAAGGCGAUGAUCGGUAGCUGGUCUGAGAGGAUGAUCAGCCACACUGGGACUGAGACACGGCCCAGACUCCUACGGGAGGCAGCAGUGGGGAAUUUUGGACAAUGGGGGCAACCCUGAUCCAGCCAUUCCGCGUGAGUGAAGAAGGCCUUCGGGUUGUAAAGCUCUUUUGUCCGGAGCGAAACGGUGGCGGUGAAUAUCCGCCACUACUGACGGUACCGGAAGAAUAAGCACCGGCUAACUACGUGCCAGCCGCCGCCGUAAUAC